rnacentral:pre_miRNA from 1 species
CAAGUACUCCCUCCGUUCGGAAUUACUCGUCCAAGAAAUGAAUGUAUCUAGAUGUAUUUUAGUUGUAGAUAUAUCCAUUUUUGUAACAAGUAAUUCCGAACGGAGGGAGUAUAAC